GACGAACGCUGGCGGCGUGCCUAAUACAUGCAAGUCGAACGAACCGCGACUAGGUGCUUGCACUUGGUCAAGGUGAGUGGCGAACGGGUGAGUAACACGUGGGUAACCUACCUCAUAGUGGGGGAUAACAGUCGGAAACGACUGCUAAUACCGCAUAGGACAUAGGAUCACAUGAUCCAGUGAGGAAAGGUGGCGCAAGCUAUCGCUAAGAGAUGGACCCGCGGUGCAUUAGCUAGUUGGUAGGGUAAAGGCCUACCAAGGCGAUGAUGCAUAGCCGACCUGAGAGGGUGAUCGGCCACAUUGGGACUGAGACACGGCCCAAACUCCUACGGGAGGCAGUAGUGGGGAAUCUUCCGCAAUGGACGCAAGUCUGACGGAGCAACGCCGCGUGAGUGAAGAAGGUCUUCGGAUCGUAAAGCUCUGUUGUUAGAGAAGAACAGCGCAUAGAGUAACUGUUAUGCGUGUGACGGUAUCUAACCAGAAAGCCACGGCUAACUACGUG
rnacentral:rRNA from 1 species